AUUUAAAAACAAAACCUUUCUUUUUCAUUUCAUCUCCAGUUCUUUUUUUUUCAACAGAGAGCCUUUUUUUUUUGCUUUCUCUCAUUCCCCUUUUCUCCCCACCCCCCGGUUUCUCUCUUUUUGGCUAGGUUUUUAAGACCCAUCCUAGCCGCCGUCGUCUCGACUCCACCAUGGGUGGUGGUUAAAACCGCAAGGGACGUUUUUAGGCCCGUUUCAGAGCUAUUCAAAGGCCACGUUUCCUUUAGCCCGAAGACGAGAAGGAAGGAGAUCCUUUUACCCCCUUUGGAAUCGACUCUGUCGACGAAGAUGAGGCUCCGUCGGCGCGACUCCGGUGCGGUCCAGGUGUAGUCAGAGGCGUGGAGGGCAAAAGGUAUGGGCAAUGGUAUGGGACGCCUGUUUUGGGUGUUGUGCACCCUGAGGCCAGCACAUGGAGGCAGCGGCGCAAGGCUUGUGGAGCUAGGGUUUGAAUUGUUGAAAAGUUUUAAGAUAGUUGGGCUAGGAUUUUGACUUGGGCUUGGGCAUUGGGUUAAUGGGCUGAUCUGGUCUGUAUUUUGAUUUGUAAAAGGACUGUAUAAAUGGACAUUUUGAUUUUUUUCAAAA